GACUGGGAGCCCAGGCAGACCCUGCCGGGAGGGGGAAACCCGAGUAAACUUAGGGGAAGUUGGAGGGAGGAACAAGCCGAGCCUGCCCCUCGCCAGCGCAGCAGGGAAGCGCGCCCGCCGCUGGGCUGGCGGGGCAGCGGGCUGACCGCCGUGGAGGAGCGGCAGGAGGGGAUGCGCAGGGGAUGCGGGGUGGGAUUAGGAGCUCGGUAACGGCCGCGGCGUUGGGAGGGUGGCAGAGGGCUUGUCUCAUCCGAUGCCCGGGGGCUCGGCAGUGACCGAGAGAAGCCACCCCAGCAGCCCGACCUCCUCCGCGGUGGGCUCUGACAACUUGCAGGGAAACCUCCUGCCGCCGCCGCGCUCCAGGGCAAUUAGGCUGCCGGCACUGAGCCAAGCCCUUGGGUUGGGUUCCCCCACCCACACCGGUGAGAACGGGGGGUCCCUCCCGCCGCCGGGGUGCCGCCUCGGCCCGCGGCGGGGGAGGCAACGGGCCCGGAGGGCUGGCAGGGCUCCCGGGCAGCGCCCGGUAUUUUCAGCGCAGCACCCGUCUGCGGCAGCGGCGCGCACAGCCGGGAAGCGACUCCGGAUUUGCGACUUCCAUUUCAGUGCUGCUUUUUCCAUAAUCGGCGAACACAAGUUAGGCAGUGUAAUAUGCAUUGCAACUGGAGCUUCAGAACUCGUUUUACCUGCUCCAGAUACAGAAAAGUUGUUGAGCAGUGCCUCCUAAUGCUUUGUAAAGGAUUUGGUUCCACCUACUCAGCAGGAUUGUCCUUCGCCAGGAGUACUGUUCUGCGUACAUGGAAAUAGCAACAACUGAAGCAUAAAUGACACCUUUCCAGUCUAGUGUGAAUGGAAGAGUCUCACCGUCUUCUGCAGGAGGGUUCAACACUCCAGGAGUUGCCCCUGCUCAUGGUGGACAAUUCCUUUAUCUUUCUUGAUGAAUGGGGCUUUAGCCAAAGAACACUCAAGCAACUGAAGAAAAGGACUUAAGCUGGUUGCAUUCAAAGCAUCAUCAGCUGUAGUGUCCCUGGUUGAAGUAGAAAGCUACAUAACUUCACAAGGGAUUUUUUUUGCCUAAUUCCUCUGAGAAGAAAGAAGUGAAGUGGUUUGUCACGCUGCAGUUCCCUGACCUGGCCAAGCAUAUUGCAGGAGGGAACAGGCUGUGCCAUAGCAACCCCACCUGUCAGCAAGCGAUGGAAGCAGCUGUUGUCCUCAGUGGCCUCCUAUGAAGCUCUUAUCCUCUGCUGCUGGGAGCUGCACACUUGGUUUCAGGGGUUUCAUUGGACAGACCUCUGCUGGAGAAUUUCUUGAGUUGGAAAGGAACCAUAAGGAUCAUCAAGUUCAACUCCCCGAUCCUUGCAAGACUACCUAAAAUUAAACCAUGUGGCUAAGAGCAUCGUCCAGACACUCCUUGAACUCUGACAGGCUUGGUGCUGUGACCACUUCCUCAUGGAACCAUUCCAGUGACUGACCGGCAACCCUCAGUGAAGAACUUUUUCUUAAUGUCCAAUCGGAGCUUCCCCUGAUGCAGCCUCAUUGUAUUUACUCAUGUCCCGUCGCUGGUCACCAGAGAGAGGAAAGCAGCAUCUCUCCCUCCAGUACCCCUUUGAGGAAGUUGUACACUGCAAUGAGAUGAUUUCCCAGACUGCUCUUCUCGAAGCUGAACAAAUCAAAUACCCUCAGCCACUCCUUGUAAGUCUUGCCCUUGAUACCUUUCACCAUCUUGAUUGUCCUCCUCUGGACACACUCUAAUAGUUUUAUGUUACUCUCAUACUGAGGCACCCAAAACUGCACACAGUACUUGAGGUGGGGUUACACUAGUGCCACGUGGAGUGGGAAAAUCACUUCCCUCAGUCGGCUCUCUAUGUUGUUUCUGAUGCACCCUGGGACACGGUUGGCCCUUUUUUGUUUAUAGAGUACACUGUUGACUCCUAUUCAACUUGUCAUCAACUCACACUCCCACAUCUCUUUCCACAGGGCUGGUCUCCGGCCUCUUAUCUUCUAAUUUGGAUGUAAAAACAGGUUUGCCCUGUCCCAGGUAAAGAAUCCAGUGCUUGUUCUUGUUAAAUUUCACACAGUUGGUGAUUGCCCAGCUCUCUAGAUUAUUCAGAUCUCUGUAAGACCUCUCUACCACUGAGGGAGUCCACAGCUCCUCCUAGUUUAGUAUCACUGGCAAACUUACUUCAUGUACAUUUGAAUCCUGCAUCCAGAUAAUUUAUAAAAACGUUAAAGGCCACAAGUAUUUUACUAGGUUUUAAACAAGAAUGCUUGUGGUUUCUUCCAUGUGUAGUUCCCCGAAAAAAUCCCUCAAGUUGUUCUCUUUAAUGUUUUUCCUUCAAUUUCUCAUUUACCAUGGUGGCCUCAAAACUUGGCAGCAGUGGAGUCACUGUUAUACUUAUUUAUAUUGUAUGAACUUAUACUCCUACACUUGUAUCCAUUUGUUUUAUCUUAAGUUUAUAUCACAAACCUCCUGGAGACAGGAGCCACUGUAUGUUUGUGAAGCCCCUAGUCAACUGAAAUGUAUUCCUACAUCACCAUAGGUCCUAGAAGUUACUGUAUUAUAGUAAUGGUAUAGCAGUAGUAACCUGAACCUUUGUCCUCAAGAAAAUGUGCAAUAACCCAUGUGCAAUGUACAGUUUUGACAAGAGUAGGCCUUUCACAAGUUGCUGAGUGUCACUUAAACAUGAAAUGUCAAUAAAUAGCAGGUCCUGGUGUUCCUGGAUCUAUAAUGUAGUCUUGAAAAUCACACUCAUUCUGGGUAAAUUUCCUUCUCCAGUUCCGAAGGCUGGGAAAAAUGAAUCAAAAUCAGGAGGUCUUCAUUUUGCUACUGCUGCAUGCAGAGAAUCAAAGAAAAAUUUGCUAUUCAUGUCUUUACACCAGCAUCAGUGAGUGCAAUAGGACUAGAAUGGUACUGCAGAAAAAGAACAUAAUCCAUUCUCUGUAUCCACAGUGGAUGGAAGAAAAAAUGAUGGACACAAGCAACAAGAAAAAGACUGUUUUUUGUUCAGGGAAAAAUUUUUAUCACUAAGGAGAGUGAAAUGUUGAAGUGUAAACUUUGCAUACUCAAAACUGUGUAAGGAGAGGUUGGACAAAGAUCACGUAGAGGUGGCAGAAAAUGGGCUUUGGCUUCUCAGGAGCCCUUCCUAUUCUUCCUAUAAAUUUUGCAGAUAGGUACAUAUUUGAUAUAGUUGGUGGUUCCAGAUUCUAAAAUGCCAGGAAAAAAGCAUGGUAUUUUUAAAAUGGGGUAUUGAAGAAGUGAAAUAAUGAUGAAUCAGGCCAACUCAAGAUUCAAUAAAUGUUUUGUAAACAAUUGUUAAUUUGAUGUAUAACAUUUUUGUGGUCUUUAUUAUGUUUUCAUUAAGGGGUGUUGUUAUUUUUGUCAUUAUUUUGUUUAGUCAGAGAGGUCUGAAAAAUUCAAUUUGAACAAAUUCCUUCUUUUUCUUCCUGUAUGUCUAUCUAUUUUCAUGUCAAAUUCCCUUGUUUUUUAUUAGAUAUUUAUAAGUCUCAGAGAAAGUAACUGGGGAUUUUUCAAGCUUUAUCUAAGGGAGAAGAAGCACAAAAAACUUUUACAUAGAUACCAUUUUUUUCUGAGACUUUUGUUUGAAUAGGCUGUAAGCAAUACAAAAAUGACAGGCUUGGGUUUGUAGACUCAUCUCUGUUUUCUUUGAACAUCUGAAGCUUCACAGAACAGACAGAAAAAUGCCUAAAAGGAUGACAAGACUAGUUUGAUGAGGGCCAUGCCAGAAGAUGAAGAAACCACUUCCAUUUGUGAAGAUCAGUGUAAAAGCUAAUAGAAAAUCCUUUGAACUUUGGCUAAAUCAACUGUCUGCAGUAGUCAAAUCAAUGUGAAUGGAAUUAGUCAAUGCAAUUAAAUGUAAUUCCUAGGCUGCUUUACCAGACUCACAGAGCUGUUACACCUUUGGACAGCAGUGAUUCAGUUGAUUCUGUUGAUUAUGUUGAUUCUGAACACAGGUUUAGAUAAUACUAUUUAGCUAUUCUAUUUCCAUCACCACUGACAAGUAAGAGCUUAGACAAUAACUACGUCUCACCAGGUUCUACUGGAUCCCUGGUCCAUUUGGAGAAAUAAAAAAAAAAAGAAUAAAAAAUCACUUUUGUACAGCUCUGUUUGAUUCAACCUCUGGCACACCUCACCAAGGUACUGUCGGCAGAGUCCUUCUGGUAUUGGGUAAGUAACAGUAAGAAUGUUUAUAAACUGAAAAUAUCCAAUAUCUUUUCAAUAUCUUUUUUUUUUUUUUAAAGGCUAAAAAGGCAUAAAUGUUGAAAAAAAAACAUAGUUUUUAAAUACUUAGCAAAAUGUUAGUUUAAAGUAUGUACCUGCUGUUAUUUUAUUUUUUUUUUAAAUUCCAUAGUAUCCAUUGUAAUAAUUUGGGGCAUAAUAUAUAACUCACAUAAAUUCAUCCAUAAUUUAGGUUAUGUUGCAAUAUUACUAAUCAGGUGUUACUGCAAAAAUUUGCAGUUUCUGCCAGGGAGAUACCAAACUCAGCAGCCCAACAGAGGUCAGGCUGCCACAGCUCCACGGUCCCAGGUCCCACCAGUGAGCAAGGCUGGUAUUCCCAGUAGGCACACACAUAAACACACAUAUGUAAGACCACAAAUACACACGUACACGCAACCAGCCACACACAUGACACGGGGAGACAUGCUCAACACUCAUGCAAAUAGGACUGAUGGCUUCAUUCAGCUUCCCUCUGUGGCUGAGCAGGAUGGAGGUCUUCCAGUGGGAGUAUACAUACAAGGUAGAUCCACCCAGCAGCUGGAUUCAGACAUUCCACUGGCACAGUGAUGGUCCCUGGGUCCCAGUCCCCCCAGCUGCCGGCACCUGGACAUAUGAACUCCACCCUCCAGCUGAUCUUUCUCUCAGGGCGCCCCCAGACCCUGUGGUCCUUCUGACAGCAGAGACUCCCCUUCUGUAGCCAUGUCCUUGUGUGGUCUCAUCCUUGGAGAAACACCUCCCCUGACCCCCACCUUGUUCCCAGGCCACUUCACCUACUUGCUGGCAAGUCCAGCUUGAUUUCUGCUGGUGCCCACACACCCACACUUGCUCCAGGUGUGGUGCCAUGGGCACCAGUUCAGAGGCUGGCACUUGCUUGGUCUCUCUUGACACUGUCAUCCAGGUCCACGACCCCUUUGUGCAGAGCAUGGCCAGAGAAGACCACUGACCACCCACUAUUUAUGCUCUGCCAGCCCAGUUACCACUUUGUCCCUUUAUUUUCCCAUGCUUAUUCCUCCCCAAACCACCCUUCCUCACUUAUCCCACAAUAUACCUUGUGCAACCUCAAAAUGCUCUUCCUCUGCAUCUUAUAAUGUGCCCUAUAGCCCCUAGGCAGUAAUCUGAAAGAUGCUCUGUAGAGUUGCUUCUGUUGACUCAUUUUUAUGGAUUUAACACUUGGAUAUUGAGACUGAUGCUCUCCUGGGAAAGCCCUGGAAGGGGCCCAGACAGAGUGUCCAUUCACCUGAGUCUGUAAUUUGGCUUCCUCUUCCUGCCAUUGUGUCUGUGCUCCUCUGUGUUUGUGUACAUGGGCCUUUGAUGGGCUGAGCUCUCCUGUGAUGUGUCUGUGAGUGGCUGGGGCUGGGUAGGAUUGGGGUUCCCCUACCUGUCAUUCUUCCUCAGCACUUCUUGGUGUGCAUGGAGAACAGCAUUGUAUCACAUAACCUAACAGCUUUGAUGUUGUUUUUCCAUCAGCGGGUAUAGCUAUAAGUGGAGAAGUACAAUGGAGUUCAAUUAUCUUUAACAUUCAUGGCCCCAUAGUGGUUUUGUUAAGAACAGAAUUGGGAAAACUGGAUUUUCCUAUCUCAAAUGUCGGGAUUUAAUAAAGUAGAUUGUUGGACCUGGCUGAAAAAAGUAAGCUGGUGGUACAUAAACUAGGCAAAUGCUUGCUGACACAUGUAAGAAACUGAGGACAAAGUGUCAAAAGCCAUCAAACUUCAGCAGUAGUGAGUGGCAGGCUAUGGGAGAAGGCUGUCAAGACAGGGCAUACUCCCAGUACUGAGUCCCCAAAAGGUGAUACCUUGUCAUCUAAUAGAUAUUUUAAUGGGUUAAUUUUAUGUGUGUUAUUCUGAGUUUAAAUAAAAUCUAGGCGUAGAGGAAGUAAAAAGAAAAGGAUAUGAAAACUCCUUAGUGAAAAAAAGAAGGUAAUUUGAGUAACCAUGCUAAUUUCUUUGAAAUUAGUUAAUUUUAAUCCAUUCCCUUUAGAAUUUCAUUAUCUUAAUAUUUUUAUAGAAUCAUAGUAUUUUUCAAAUACUAAGCAUUAGUCUGCUAGAAUGAGUUAAGAAAAUUAAUCUGACUUGAAUCUAUGUGUUUAUAGGUGGCUCAUUUUGACUUCGAUGAGCCAUUUGUUCCAAGAAAAUGAGUGUCAUUAAUUUUAGUUUGGCAAAUUUGGCAUAUUUUAGAGUAGAUUAGCAUAUACUUAUGAUAUCAAGAUUGCAUAUAAUGGAGCUUCUUCUGCCUAUUUCUCUACUUUUUAACAAACUGCACAGUGAAAAACCCUAAUCUGCAUGACUGAUACUUGCUAUGUUAGUUCAAAUAUUUUGGUUAUUUUUGGUUUGUUUGAUUCAUUAAUGCUUUAGAGGCAGGAGUAAGAAAAUUUUGUGCAACUAGUGAGCAACAGAACUGAUCCCAUCAUGACCUUAAACUCAGAUAUACAUCCUAGAGCAGUGGAUGCUGGAGCGUUUAGUUAGUACUACAUGACUUCUGUCUUCUAUGAGGGAGUGAAGUCCCUGCUGGUGUGCAUUCUGUGUAAGGAUGUGAACCAAAGUGGAUACAAGUCCUGCCCAGAAUGUGGCCAUAUGGUUAAAAUCCUGAACACCAUAUUUUGUUUAAAAGAAAGUGAGCCUACAUAGCACGACGUUAAGUCAGAAUGGCUUCUGAACCAGGCUUUUUUUUCCUAACACCUAUGGUUCAUUUGGGUGGCAUAACUCUGAGUUGCUCGGAUGGAGGCAACAAUUUAGUGCAAAGCUCUGGUGCUGGUGCUGUUGAGCAGAGUUGUCAUCAUGAUUAGAUGCAGCAUUUGCCUGAGGUGGUGCUGCUAGGAUGUUGUGUCUGCUAGUCAGCAUUUUCCCAAGGGAACCAACACAGCUAGUUACACACUGCGUCUCUGGGACAUUGUGCAUGAUUAAUAUGCUCUGAAAGUGAUGUGUUAGAAAAUUGAGGAAUGUUUGAGGAAACAACUGUCUACUGGGCAUGGAAUCCACACCAGAUACUGUGGAUUUUAGCCCAAGACAUCUACAGAUUAACUAUUUUGUUUAUAAGAUAGACACAUGGUAGAUCUGCUUUUGUGUCUUCCGACAUUAAUGUUCUUGUAUUGUUUAUUUAUCUGAAGAUGCAAUGCUUUUAAGAGAGGAUUCAUGGCUUUCUCAGUGAUUCAAAAAGAGGUGUUUGUUUUCUCAGAUUUCUGGGUAGGGUUUUAGCCACUAGUUCUGUUAUUUUUACUCUAGCCCUUGAUAUUUAAACUUAGACCUUUUUACCACCGUCAGCACCUGACAAGAAAAGCACAGUUAUACACUUGUGGAAACAAAUGAGAAAAUUAAUGUUAAAAUGCUGAAGACAAUUACAUGUCCUCAAGGACUAUGGCAAGAGCAGUAAAAAGUCCAGUGAUGCUGUGCUGUAUUAAUAGUCUUACAUUUAUUUUAUGAUACUUUAGAAAUUAAAUGUGUUGGCACUUCAGCAUUUAUUCAGAUAAUCAUACUCAGCAAAAAAAUCCAUUUUGUUAUCUAGCCAGACUGCUGAGCAAUCAUUCAUCAGAGCUUCACUCAUAAACAUUAUUUUACAGGUGGCGGUACUGCAAAAUAACAAAUUAUUUUAAAAAUAGACUUGAUUUUUGUUAAAAUUGUGUUAGCCCCCAUUAUUAGCUUGUCAGAUAGAAAGAGAAACUGUGGUUGUUCAGUGUAUGUCCAAAGCUCUUGAGGUAGCAUUGACUCAACAUCAAUCAGACACACCCAUCAUUUGAUUUGUAUUUAGAAGAGCUGUUUGCUUGCUCAGAAAUUAUAAAAUUUGUUUCUAUCUAAAAUAUUUAUGUCAGAUAGACAUAUAAGGACAAAGGAGAUUUUCCUCUGGGAAACAUAUAAUGAUCAGGUGUCCACACUGAUGUCUUAUCAAAUCUAUUGCUGGUCUAUUACUUAAUUUUAUAUUGCAGUUGAAGACUUUGACAAAACCAAACAGAAUAAUUCUUCAUUCUUGUCCUUAAAUGAAAUCUUAGCUAAUAGUCUCUCUCAAGAGAGGUCUCAAGCAUAGAUUCCAGUUUUCCUCUUCAGUAUGUAUUACCCAUUAUUAUGGGAUUUUUUUAGGGGGUAGAGGAAAUGAUGUUACCAGUAAGGUGUAGUCCUGUGCCUGUGGCUUGGACAUUGUGACAAAGGACUGCAGUCAUUAUCUACAUGAGCUAGAAACAUGGGAGUGACUUGUCUGAGACUUAGAUCAAGGCUGAGGUUGUGAAAUGAGUUACAAAAAGAGAUACAGAAAAAGGAAAAAUAAGACUACUGAGAACAGGAACCAUUGCUUGCUAAAAUUCAUGAAAAUAGUAAUUUAAAAAAAUUUUAGGUUUCCUAACUUCUGUUUGGUGAUCUUAUUAUACAACUUACCCAGUAAGCUUAUUGUGAUUUUUAUUUGGUUAGUAAGCUGCCAUCUUUUGAAAGCAUGUCUUUUUGCUGUUUUUUUCUAUUAUUUUGCUACUGUGAAAUUAGACUAUAUCCCAAGCUGAUACAAGCAGUCAGAUAUUGAAACUGAUAAUAAAUGCAGCAGUCAAUUUAGUGAGGUAUUGAACUGUGGGAGACAGGCACCAUCUCUUCUUCUAAGGCCUGCACUGGUAGCUUAAUUGCUUCCAGAAACUGUUUGAGAUGCUAUAAAUCAUGUAUGCCUACAAAAUAUUGUAUUAUCUAAUGUCAUAUUACUACAGCUGCUGCCAGCACAGAACUCUAUACCGAUUUAUUUGCAUUCUCCCCUCCCUUUUUCCUCUUUUCCCUUCUCCCUAUACUCACACAUGCAAUCAGAUGUGUUGUCUACAAAUGCUCUAGGACUGUAAACACUACCUUGGUGCCACCUGAGUCUGAAACUACCCAAGUACAAUAACCUUCAGUUUCAGGUUGCAAAAGACGUCAUUUUGAGAGGGCAGGAAAAAAGGUGUCGGAAAUUUUACAUCCCAAUGAGAUGAGAAGUUGAAAAGGAUUGUCCGUAUAUUUCUUGUUUGCUAAGUUUCCAAUAAGCUUAAUGCUGAUGUUAUUUUAUAUACUGUGCUAUUAAUAGUCAGGUUAGUUACAGCUUUGGACAAGUGCACGUUAUUAUUUAUAUUAAAUUAAUCUUAAAUUCUAGUUAUCAUGUCAAUGUAUGAUGCCAUUCAUCCUUAUGUAUUUACAUUGAGCUCCAGUCCCAGUGGCAUAAAUUCUCAUAGUUGAGGAAUAAAAUAAAGUUCAAUGUAAGUUUCAUAGCUUGUAUUAAAUUAUAAUUGCCAAUUAUAUCUUGCUUCUGGAAAAAAAACCCUACAGAGUAUUUUGUAUUUGAAUUUUCCUAGUUGAAUGUAUUAGGCACUAGAACUACAUGGAUAUCAUUGCAUAUGAAACAAAUGACAUCGUAAUGAGAAUCAGUCACUGUUUUUCCUUAAUAGAAAAGAUUUUUACAGACCAUGGAAAUAUUUAAUAAUAGAAUACAUUAUAUUUAAAAAGCAGAAGGCUAUUAUGAUAAUUAUAAUGUAAGACAGACAACUAAAAGGAAAAUCAUGGCACUAGAAAGAAUCUUCUUUUGCAUUCCUUCUACACGUUAACAUUCCUUUAUUGUUAUUUGAUGGUAUAUAUUAUCAAAACAAAAAAGGUUAAGGUUGCUUCUUACAGUUUAGCUCAUUUUCUGUGUCAAAGAUUUUGUAGAAGAGAGAUGACAAUUUUUGUAGUGGAAUACAUCUCACCUAAUACUAGCACCCUACAAUUAGUGACCUACUCUGAGUAAGAUGUCUAGAUGUCCUCUACAGUUAGUGGUAAGGGAUGAGAAAUUUCAGCACGCUCGCUUGAGACAUAUUUUAACACCUGCAAUUAGGUAGGAUGAAUUUAUAUUUGUGUGUUGAUAUUUAUGGCUAUAUGAAACUAUACAUGUAUUAAUACAUAUUGCUGUUGCAGCGUGACAGCAGUUUUGUGACUACACAGUUACCUAACUGAGGCAAUAGUUUUGGAUUAACUUGCAUUUGCACUGGAUUCAAAUCUGUCAAAAAUCUACGAAUUCCUUUGGGCUUGUUUUUUGUAUUUUGAUUGUUUUAAUGUCCUCAUGAGAUUUCUGCUAAUGUUCUCAAUGGGAUUUAACGGCCAGACUUGAAAGCCUUGCUUUUUUCUUUUUUUAACAAACAAUGAUAAAUGAAAGAUACUACUUGUGUUUACAUAAUUUAUAGGAAAGUUUACAAAAAUUAAUAAUUCUGUAAUUUUCACUUACCUGUAAACUGUUUUUAAAAAGUGCCAUAGUAACAAGGAAUAUGAUAAUAUUUUCAAUGGCAAUUGGAUGCAGCAACACAGGGGAAAUGUAUAUAAAGGAAGACUGGCUAUGAUGGUUUGUCUUUAGUGUCUUGAAAUUAUUUUCUUUCAGUUCUUACUCACAUAUGCUUUAAUACUACUGCUUUCAGCGAUGUAGCCCAGGUGUAACCAAAAAUGCACAAUCUGUGGUAAGGCACAAAUAUUUUUUUAGGAGUUACAGAUGGGUGUUCAUAAGCAAAUGUUGCAAAUACAUAAGUUAUUAAGCUUUUCAAUGAUUACGUAUUUUAAAAAUAGAAAAAUAAAGUUAUGGUUAUAAUAGUAAGCGAUAAGCAUGUUUAAUUUUCUGUGUCUCAUUUAAUGUGAAUAGAUAAAAAGGUCAUAGAAUGUUGGGGGUAUCAUAUUGUACUAAUUUUUUACAGCUGACAGCUGCUCUCUGAAGGACAGUAUGUGAAAGUUCUGUUGUAGCGGUGAUGAAAACAUGGUAUAAUGAGCCAAAAGCAUUUUACAUGAUAUUAGAGUUCUGAAGAAAAUUGACAUGAAAAAUUGAAUAUUUAUCUUGAGUCAGUAAUGCACCUUUCUAUAACAUGCAUUGCUAGCAUACAAAACAUAUAAAUACGAAAUGCGAGUAGACAGAGCACAGGAAAUGUCUAAAUAAUGGUUAAAGGUAGUUAACAAUAGGACAGUGUGUUCUGCUCCUGAACCUACCAUUUAACAUUCUCCUUUGUAGACUUGUUCAAAAAAUUAUGGCGUAGAAAGAAUUUAAUUCCAAAUGGGACUUCGGAAACAUCAUGGACCCAGACUAAAUUCUUAGUUUUCUACACUGUCAAAUAUGCUGACCCAGGUGUUAGAUUUCAAAUAUGGUUAUAAAUUAUGUAGCUAUCCUCUAGUUUCUGCUGUUUAGAUAUAUAACAAAAUUCUUGUGGAAAGAAACAAAAUUAUCUGAAAUUGCACCAUUAGAACAGCUUCCAAAUACAUCUCCAGCUAUGAGGUUCUUUGUUAUGGAAACAUACUUUUUUUUUUUUUUAAUGUGUAUUGCUGACUGUACUUUAAAUGCAAAAUAUAAUGACUGAUUUCUUAUUUGAGCGUGGAUCUUAUUUUGAACUUUUAAAAGACACAACUAUGUGUUGGGUAAGUAGUUAUGCUUAAAACUCAAAUUGUGGCAUGGGAAAAUACUUUUUUUCAAUAUAGAAGAUACCUUUCAAUGUCUUCAGGGAAAGUGAAAUAAUUUUACUGACAUCAAAAGAAUCUAAUUAAACACUUAUGAUGGCUAAACAAAAUAACAGCAAGUAGAGGCUUCUUCACAUUACAUUAGGUAGCUAUACUCUCACAAGCGGGUUGGGCAUUUCCUCUGACAGCUCAUAUAUGAAAUUUGAUUCGGAUUAAUUAAAAUUUGUGGUGAAAAUAACAUGUACUUUUAUUCCACAUCAGAAAAAUAAAAAUAAUUAACAAUUUAUCUCUAAGUGUGGGCUUGAUACUUUGAGCAGUUUUUUAGUAUAAAAGGUGUCUGUCUACUAAGAAGUAUACUGUAAUUGAAAACACAAAUAAAAAUUACAGAAGAGAACAUCACAUGGCUAACCACUACAAAAGCCUGCUAUACAAGAAUCUUCAGUAUAGAAUUUGAGUAGAGAAGAACUUUAGGAGCUGAAAUUUGUUUGCCUAAAAUUUUGGGACCUGAAAUUUUGAUUCCUCAACUAAUAGUAGGUGUAUUUCCCAUCUUUGACUUAUUUGAUCCUCUAAUAACUGUGUUCCAUAUGUCUUUUUAUUUCUGGUCUGUCUCUAAAUGUACCCUCAUGCAGAGACCCACUGUGUGGGUGUCUAACAUGGGAUGUGAGAUGCACCAGCUUUUCCAUACCACUCCUGACUGCUUAUAGAGAAGGACGAUGUGUAAGAAAAUUGGUUAAAUGCCCAGCUUUUAGACAGCUGAAGUUACACAAGGCUAACAUUGUUUUUAUAUAAUUUUAAAAUGUAUGUCUUGUCUACGAUGAUUACUUUGUCAGCUAGGAACUGCCACAGGCUAACAGAGACCCUAUUUUUCUAUAUUAACAUGGUAUCUUUAUGGGAGAGGUAAUAAAAUUCCAUAUAUUACAUAAAAUCAUUUUCCCAAAUGACUGUUUUGAUUUUUGAGUCUAUAAACCUCAGAUAUGAUUCCCUUAGAAAGUCCCCAAGACAGUAUAAAAAUGUAAGACUUUCAAAAUUUUCUACCUCUCACAAUGGCCAGAAGAUACUUUGAGAGAAACUAUAUAUGGAGCAGUUGGAUCAAAAAUCUUUCUUUCCCUCCUCUCCUUUCAAUGCAUUUACUAAUUAGUAGGUUAGGGAUUUCCAUUUAGAUGAAUCAGAGGGUUCUGAUGGUGUAAAAAGUGUUUUGCCUUGCAUAACAAAUCAUGUUACUCAGCACUGUUGAGAUUCAGAAUGAAACCAGUUCCUUGGUUUUGAAUGCUUUGAGAACAAUGGGGAUAUGUAGAUCCGUAUCUACUCUAUACUAAAGACAAUGCACUCAUUUCCCACAAGUGAGAACAGUGGUUUAUAUUUUUCCAUGAAGUGGAGGCAAAGAUAUAAAAGAGUGGAUAAAAGAAGAUCCGUGUUAUGACACAGAGAUGACACUAACCAAGAUAUUAAUGUACAUUUAGAAAGUGCUUAGGGUGUGCUUCUGUUUAUGCUGCAACAAAGGCACGCUUUCGUGACUCUCUUUUGCAACAGAAGAUUUCAGCUAUAUGCUAUACCAAAAUCCACUUCAGUUUACUACCAGGGUGCCAACAGAAGAUAUAUUCUGAGUGUGCAAUUUGAAUAGCAAAGCCAAAGUCUGGGGAAUUAAUGACUACUAUAGUAGUGUAUUGCAGACAAAAUCCCACAAAAUCUCAGGUCAAGUCCUGCCAAAUGUCUCCAAUUCAGCUGGCGGACCAGGUAACAGGAAAAGUUUUAUGCUUCAAUUGCACACAGCAAGUUCUGUCUGGAUUAUGGUAACAGGGGAACAAUAGCCUAUCCCACUUUUAAGAUCAACUUCAAAAUGGGAUUGCUAGUGUGACUGGUUUUAUGGGAAGAGUCACAAGCCUUCAGACAUAUUACUGAGGUUGUUUAUGACAAGGAGUCUCAAAUCCUGACAUGAAAGCAAAGGAAUCCUUGUUGACAUGAAUUUUUAA